GUCUUCGAUGGCUCAGUCCGAUAGAGCGUCUGCCAUAUAAGCAGGAGACCCCGGGUUCGAAUCCCGGUCGGGGCA